AUCACAAAUGCCUGAUUUGAUAUCAAAAUACUGGUUGACUGGCAACACUGCAAUGACUUCAUCUCCUUCCUUGAAUCUUGUCACCUCUUCACCAACUACAACAUAAGGAAACAUGCAUUGUACGUCAGAAUACAGAUGUGAAAACUAUCCAGAAAGCAAAAGGAAAUUUCAUUAAUUAAUACUAAAACUAUGCUCUACUUUGAUCAACCAAGCACUUGAUAAAACACCAACGUUAUAGACCGAUACUGAACCUUCAAUGAAUCAGGCCACUUUUUAUUACAAAAUCAACUCAAAUUGACAGUCUACUCUAGCAGUGCAUUUAUUACAUACAUCUAACUUAGAUCUGCAAAACAAAUGGAGUGGUAAAAUAAUAGUUUAAUUUACAAAUGCAUAAGCAAGUACAUGAUAUAUUAACGCAUGUGGAAACUAACACAAGGCACAUUGAGGCACAAUAGCAAAAUAUUGAUUUUUGUACUGUUAAAAUAAAAUGAUCGUAAGUUAAAUUAAAACAGUUCAAAUAAUUAAGAUUAUAAAUUGCACUAAGCAGGACAAAGCAUAUGGAAAAGAGAAAGUGAGAAAAAUACCAUUUAAAAUAUUAUGUGGACUUUGACACAAAUAUUUAAGCGGCAUUUACACACUGUUUCAACACAUUGUACAACACUGAUUGUAAGGAAUAAACUAUAAUACAGAGCAGUAGCACACAGCAUACAAACUAUAGUAGCACACAGCAUACAUAUAGUAGUACAGAGCUUACAUAUAUAAGUACAAUGUAUGCCUUUUGCCUAUGUUUGAAUACAUUGUAUACAUACACUUGUGUUUUGGCUCUUCUGACAAAAAUUUUGGAUAGCCAACAUUCCAACGUCCUACUCAUGUUGUCUUUAUCAGAAAGAAUGACACUAAAUCAGGGUGAAAUGAUCAAUGAGAGUCAUUUCACCCUCGAUGAAGAGGACCUUAAAAAGGCGGCAAAACCUCAGUUAGCAACAUUCUUGGCAGAAAAGCCAAAAAACAAGUAUAAGUAUAAUACGCCUAGUGGCAACAGUACAUAUUGCAUUAUUGCAUUAAUGUUUAAAUUACUUCAGUUGUACUAACAGUUUAUAAAUAUAUCAGUUAAACAUAAACACUUAAGUAAAGUUUGACUUGAUUGAUUGCACUGGAUAUAACGAGCACGUUGUUAAACAACUUGAUCAAUUAGAUACGUUGUGUACCAUAAGAUAACAGCACAAAGACAAAUCUUAUUAAGAAUAUGCAGUGCAUGGUAAUAUGAAACAAUGAUAUUACAAGUACUGCAGUAAUUUCUAUGGAAAAAUAUAAAGUUCAGUACAUUGUAUUAAAUAUUGCAAAAGUAUUUUUUUCAAAAGCAAAAUAAAUCUUCACAAUAAUAUACAAACAUAUGAUAAUAUGAAACACAAUGAUAUUACAUUAACAAGUACUCUAGUAAUUUCUAUAGAAAGUUAGAACAUAAAGCGCAUUGUUUCAAAUAAAUCAAAAGUAUAAGUUCAAUAUGACAAAAAAAUAAUAAACAAUUCAACCGAUAAUUUGUGGAUGAAACAACAAAAUUAUCUCAUGUUAAAAAGGGUGCAAAAAAACUUUAUUUUGAAAAACUAUUAAUGAAAGUUACUGAGGCACCAUUGUGGUAAGGCAUCAGCAUUUUUAAAAAGCUUAUUAAUUGCACAAUAACACCAAUAGCGUUGUAUAACUUUGAAAUAAAAUACUGUCAUUAUUAGAUCAGUGGUUCGCAACAGUGGAACAAAUUUAAAGACAGACUGUAUCUUUGACAAUUGUUUUUUAAUAACUAUUUGAUGUUUCUUAUGGAUUCAGAAAAAAGAGAAUUAUACAUUUUCCUACAACUUAAAACAGUGCUGCUAAAGGUUUUGUAGCACCACUGUAGUAUCAACUAAGAAAUAAUACUAAAUCCAAUUUCCCUAACCUAAUUUUACAACUUUUGAAAGUAUACAACAAAAUGAGUUGCGUAAAAAC